GAUGAACGCUGGCGGCGUGCCUAAUACAUGCAAGUCGAGCGAACAGACGAGGAGCUUGCUCCUCUGACGUUAGCGGCGGACGGGUGAGUAACACGUGGAUAACCUACCUAUAAGACUGGGAUAACUUCGGGAAACCGGAGCUAAUACCGGAUAAUAUAUUGAACCGCAUGGUUCAAUAGUGAAAGACGGUUUUGCUGUCACUUAUAGAUGGAUCCGCGCCGCAUAAGCUAGUUGGUAAGGUAACGGCUUACCAAGGCGACGAUGCGUAGCCGACCUGAGAGGGUGAUCGGCUACACUGGAACUGAGACACGGUCCAGACUCCUACGGGAGGCAGCAGUAGGGAAUCUUCCGCAAUGGGCGAAAGCCUGACGGAGCAACGCCGCGUGAGUGAUGAAGGUCUUCGGAUCGUAAAACUCUGUUAUUAGGGAAGAACAAAUGUGUAAGUAACUAUGCACGUCUUGACGGUACCUAAUCAGAAAGCCACGGCUAACUACGUG
rnacentral:rRNA from 1 species